CGUGACCUGGAAUGUUCGCCAGCCAGAUAAGUCCUCGAGCCGAUACUUUUUUAUAGGCAAGUAUUUCACGUGUUGUGUGCAUGUCCCCUUCGGCGGGAAAGCCUAAUAUACGUCAGGUAUUCGCCACCUUGAACCUUUCGGUUCAAGGCCCUAUCAGGCAGCGGCAUUUUGGGCACACU
rfam:Oleiphilus sp. HI0065 HI0065_c3, whole genome shotgun sequence.